rnacentral:rRNA from 1 species
GUACGCUGGCGGCACGCCUAACACAUGCAAGUCGAACGAAGUAGCAAUACUUAGUGGCAGACGGGUGAGUAACAUGUAGGUAUCUACCCUUUGGCCUGGAAUAACACGAGGAAACUUGUGCUAAUACCGGAUAAGUCUUUACGGAGAAAGCUUUAUGCACCAUUGGAUGAGCCUGCACUUGAUUAGUUUGUUGGUGGGGUAAUGGCCUACCAAGACUGUGAUCAAUAGCUGAUUUGAGAUGACGAUCAGCCACACUGGGACUGAGACACGGCCCAGACUCCUACGGGAGGCUGCAGCAGGGAAUAUUGCGCAAUGAGCGAAAGCUUGACGCAGCGACACCGCGUGUGGGAUGACGGAUCUAGGUUUGUAAACCACUUUCAGGAGGGAAGAAAAUGACGGUACCUCCACAAGAAGCCCCGGCCAACUA